UACGUAGGGUGCAAGCGUUGUCCGGAAUUAUUGGGCGUAAAGAGCUCGUAGGCGGUUUGUCGCGUCUGCUGUGAAAACUCGGGGCUCAACCCCGAACUUGCAGUGGGUACGGGCAGACUAGAGUGUGGUAGGGGAGACUGGAAUUCCUGGUGUAGCGGUGAAAUGCGCAGAUAUCAGGAGGAACACCGAUGGCGAAGGCAGGUCUCUGGGCCAUAACUGACGCUGAGGAGCGAAAGCGUGGGGAGCAAACAGG
rnacentral:rRNA from 1 species